rnacentral:rRNA from 1 species
AUUGAACGCUGGCGGCAGGCCUAACACAUGCAAGUCGAACGGUAACAGGAAGAAGCUUGCUUCUUUGCUGACGAGUGGCGGACGGGUGAGUAAUGUCUGGGAAACUGCCUGAUGGAGGGGGAUAACUACUGGAAACGGUAGCUAAUACCGCAUAACGUCGCAAGACCAAAGAGGGGGACCUUCGGGCCUCUUGCCCUCGGAUGUGCCCAGAUGGGAUUAGCUAGUAGGUGGGGUAACGGCUCACCUAGGCGACGAUCCCUAGCUGGUCUGAGAGGAUGACCAGCCACACUGGAACUGAGACACGGUCCAGACUCCUACGGGAGGCAGCAGUGGGGAAUAUUGCACAAUGGGCGCAAGCCUGAUGCAGCCAUGCCGCGUGUAUGAAGAAGGCCUUCGGGUUGUAAAGUACUUUCAGCGGGGAGGAAGGGAGUAAAGUUAAUACCUUUACUCAUUGACGUUACCCGCAGAAGAAGCACCGGCUAACUCCGU